UCUACUCUCAGGCUCAGCUGAUCUGGAGAAGGCAGGGACUAUUGUGGUUAGGCUUUCCUCGCUAGUGAUUUGAUCACUAAUGACAGCUGCUCUGUUACAAGGAGAUCAUUCAUUUCACCUGGGGCUGCAUCAUCAAUGGUAAGUUUAUAAGGGAGUCAGAGGGGCUUGUCCAGCAAUCAUUUCCCUACCCUCCACUGUUGGAGAGGGAGGUCAUUUUGGUCUCUGACCACCUUUUUCUUUUCUUUUAUUUUUGAUUUAUUUUUCAUCUCCACUUGGAAUGCUGGUCUAUCCAUACUGAGCCUACUGAUUAGGAGUGUUGUGAUACCUCAUAUCCAUUCUUGGCUGCUGACACUUUUUAUGUGAAUACGUUUGUUAUUUCACACACCCCUCAUGGUCUUGGAGCCCUCUGGGAGUGGGGGAGACCUAUGGGCAUUGAGCAUACCAUCUGACUUGGCCACAUUGGAUCCGGCGCACACACGGGCUCUCUGGGGACGAUCUGGACACUCCAAGCUUGGGAGAGGAAAAACCUCACUGCUAAUGUUCCCUGAAGAAGGAUGUAUUACUAAAAGCAUUUGAAACGCGUUGGAAACGACCAUCCAUAUACCCAGUUUUGUGCUGGGGUACAUGAUGAUCUCAUAGCAGCAGUUUUUUCCAAUUUUUUAUUUUAGAUGUUGACAUACUACUUUGAAGUGUUUAUUC